GGCUGGUCCAAAGGUAGUGAGUUGUCUCAACUGAUUGUUCACAGUCACUUACAGGUCAAGCUCCUUGUUCUAUUCUUUCCCCUCUGUCUCACUACUGCACUUGAUUGGUCUUAA
ensembl:misc_RNA Y_RNA Y RNA